rnacentral:rRNA from 1 species
AUUGAACGCUGGCGGCAGGCCUAACACAUGCAAGUCGAGCGGAUGAAGGGAGCUUGCUCCUGGAUUCAGCGGCGGACGGGUGAGUAAUGCCUAGGAAUCUGCCUGGUCGUGGGGGAUAACGUCCGGAAACGGGCGCUAAUACCGCAUACGUCCUGAGGUAGAAAGUGGGGGUUCUUCGGACCUCACGCUAUCAGAUGAGCCUAGGUCGGAUUAGCUAGUUGGUGGGGUAAAGGCCUACCAAGGCGACGAUCCGUAACUGGUCUGAGAGGAUGAUCAGUCACACUGGAACUGAGACACGGUCCAGACUCCUACGGGAGGCAGCAGUGGGGAAUAUUGGACAAUGGGCGAAAGCCUGAUCCAGCCAUGCCGCGUGUGUGAAGAAGGUCUUCGGAUUGUAAAGCACUGUAAGUUGGGAGGAAGGGCAGUAAGUUAAUACCUUGCUGUUUUGACGUUACCAACAGAAUAAGCACCGGCUAACUUCGUG